rnacentral:rRNA from 1 species
UACGUAGGGGGCAAGCGUUGUCCGGAAUCAUUGGGCGUAAAGAGCGUGUAGGCGGCCAGAUAAGUCCGCUGUGAAAUCUCGAGGCUCAACUUCGAGCUGUCGGUGGAAACUGUCUGGCUAGAGUCCGGAAGAGGAGAAUGGAAUUCCUGGUGUAGCGGUGAAAUGCGCAGAUAUCAGGAAGAACACCCGUAGCGAAGGCGGCACUCUGGGCCGGAACUGACGCUGAGGAGCGAAAGCGUGGGGAGCAAACAGG